UAAUAACACUUGUCGGAUUUGUGUUUGUCAUAUGAAGCCUGAGCAUUGAAACGUAUGCAGCAAAAAUUAUUCAAUAAACUUUUACUCCACUUAUUCAAUAAAAAUUACUCCUUUUUAUCAACAUUACUUUGUCACCUGCUUCUGCUCUUCACUGGAUCUACAGUCAACUUCUGGCUGAUAGGUGUCUGGUGCUGGAUCUAUUUCUGGCAUGGAGGCAUGAUUUAACUUUACAUAAAGAGUAGCAGCAGUGGGAUUUGACUGAUUCAUAUCAUAGAAAAACAGAAAAUGUGCUUGUAACUUUCUGCCAGUGCGUCAUCUGUUAAGUUUACAGACACUUCCUUUAACCAUAAAACACCAGAAUUUUCUUAGAGUUCAGUGAUUAGAAGGUCGUCAAUGGCAGUGCGUUGUGCAGCAGUGAUACAUUGUGCCAUCCUCACUACCCAAUGUAGAGCUCCCCUGUCAGAUGCUGAGCGAUUUCCAUAGAAGUGCGUGAUACAGCUGGUUAAUAUACCAUCAUAACUAGAAACAGGUGGUGAUGAUAAUGAUGGUGAUGAUGAUGAUGAUGAUGAUGAUGAUGGUAAGCAACCAGGAAACAAACUAACAGGAAGAAGCACAGGAAACGUAAAUACAGAUGAGAUUAAACAUAAUACAAACUAAAAGCUAAAGCCUUUCUCACAAAUAAUGUCACUGUCAUGGGUGGUGUGAAUGUUAACAUUGAUUGAGUUCCUUUUAUUUGAACCUUUUAAUCAUAUAUAUAUACAUAAAAUGAAAUUAACAAACCAGCACAAUGUUCAAAUGAAUUGCUAAAGUGUUCUACACCUUGUUAUACAACUGCUAAGAAUUUUAGAGGGUUGCUAGGUCAAUAUCCUCUGUAAGCCCCUGCCAUAUUUUGCCUUUAGAAGUAGCACAUUGCAUUUGUGGAUGUGUUUUUGUAGCCUAUGAAUUGCUGGUUUUGUGUAUGUUUUCCUCUUUUAAAUUUCCCUUUUUCCCCUGUUGUUUCUCAUACUGUCCACUUGCACUCUCCGCUACCUGCGACAUCACUUGCAAUCGUGUGUGUUGCCAAUGAAGACAAGAUGCUGUGGUGGUGAUUAAACGAUUAAAUCUAAUUUAGGACCGUAACUUACAGGGUCCUGCAAGUCAUCUGUAGAAGAAAAAGACAAGACCUGCAAAUCUGUGGCCACAGAACAGCCGAAUAUGAACGCAAUGCGCAAAGUCUCUCAUUAAGCGUUUUCCUCCCAUAGAAAACAUAAACACUUAAUAUGGCUUAAAGUAUUAAGAUGCUAUUAAAAUAUCAAAUUCAAUAUACAGUUUAUUAAUAUAAUGAAUAAUGUAUAGCCUAUAUUAUUUUCCCAUAUUAUAGCCUACAGUAUUUUCCUCCCAUACCGCAAAACGUGGCAUAAUGUGGCAUAAUGGCUUACGAUGAUUUUCAUAGAGAGCGUCUCUUCGGGCCAUCAGAGGGCUCCCUCACCGGAGUUUUGAUUAUUCUCCCGCACUACAUUUCCCAUAAGCCCUGUACCUGGUACUGAUUACCUCUGACACCUGAACCUUCUUAACUCAGCUAUUUAUAGCAGGCCCACCUCUUUGCAAGUCUUGUUUUGACUUGGUGAACAUUUCUGAGCAUUUUUUUUUUCUUGUAUUUUUGGAGUGCCUAUUGGACUGUUUAUCUUGUGUUGGACUAUUGUUGUUGUUUGAUUGCCGGCUGCCCCGACCAUAUGCCUGGUAACUGUUUAUGAUUCUGUCUGCCCUGCUCUGCUGCCUUACCUGUGCUUUGACCUCUCAUUGUACGACCAUGUUUAUAAUAAAGCUGCAAAUAGAUUCCA
ensembl:lncRNA